ACGAGUGGCGGACGGGUGAGUAACACGUGGGUAACCUGCCCUUAAGUGGGGGAUAACAUUUGGAAACAGAUGCUAAUACCGCAUAAAUCCAAGAACCGCAUGGUUCUUGGCUGAAAGAUGGCGUAAGCUAUCGCUUUUGGAUGGACCCGCGGCGUAUUAGCUAGUUGGUGAGGUAACGGCUCACCAAGGCAAUGAUACGUAGCCGAACUGAGAGGUUGAUCGGCCACAUUGGGACUGAGACACGGCCCAAACUCCUACUGGAGGCAGCAGUAGGGAAUCUUCCACAAUGGACGCAAGUCUGAUGGAGCAACGCCGCGUGAGUGAAGAAGGCUUUCGGGUCGUAAAACUCUGUUGUUGGAGAAGAAUGGUCGGCAGAGUAACUGUUGUCGGCGUGACGGUAUCCAACCAGAAAGCCACGGCUAACUACGUGCCAGCAGCCGCGGUAAUACGUAGGUGGCAAGCGUUAUCCGGAUUUAUUGGGCGUAAAGCGAGCGCAGGCGGUUUUUUAAGUCUGAUGUGAAAGCCCUCGGCUUAACCGAGGAAGUGCAUCGGAAACUGGAAAACUUGAGUGCAGAAGAGGACAGUGGAACUCCAUGUGU
rnacentral:rRNA from 2 species